rnacentral:rRNA from 1 species
GAUGAACGCUAGCGGCAGGCCUAAUACAUGCAAGUCGAACGGUAACAUGAGUAGCAAUACUUGAUGACGAGUGGCGCACGGGUGCGUAACGCGUAUGCAAUCUACCUUUAACCGGUGAAUAGCCCGAAGAAAUUCGGAUUAAUACACCAUAGUAUGUUUGAGUGGCAUCACUUAAACAUUAAAGUUCCGACAGUUAAAGAUGAGCAUGCGUGACAUUGGCUAGUUGGUAAGGUAACGGCUUACCAAGGCAACGAUGUCUAGGGGAUCUGAGAGGAUUACCCCCCACACUGGUACUGAGACAGGGACCAGACUCCUACGGGAGGCAGCGGAAAGGAAUAUUGGACAAUGGUGGCAACACUGAUCCAGCCAUGCCGCGUGAAUGAUGAAGGCCCUAUGGGUUGUAAACUUCUUUUGUACGGGAAAAAACCUGCUUACGUGUGAGAAGCUGAUUGUACUGUAAGAAUAAGGAUCGGCUAACUCCGUGCCAGCCGCCGCCGUAA